CACGUAGGAGGCGAGCGUUGUCCGGAAUUAUUGGGCGUAAAGGGCGCGUAGGCGGCUUGGUAAGUCCGUUGUGAAAUCCCUCGGCUCAACCGAGGAACUGCGACGGAUACUGCUUGGCUUGAGUCCCGGAGAGGGUAGCGGAAUUCCCAGUGUAGCGGUGAAAUGCGUAGAUAUUGGGAGGAACAUCGGUGGCGAAGGCGGCUACCUGGACGGGUACUGACGCUGAUGCGCGAAAGCGUGGGGAGCAAACAGG
rnacentral:rRNA from 1 species